GGGGGAUUAGCUCAGUUGGUUAGAGCGUUUGUAUGACACACAAGAGGUCAUUGGUUCGAGCCCAAUAUCUCCCACCA
rnacentral:tRNA from 1 species